CUAAGCUGUGGGAAAUGGGAAAUUGCGUAAAAAUCUGGGUUGGGUGAUUUAAAAAAAAAGCAGGGGCUGGGCAUAGGCAGUAAUAUAAGGCAAGAUGGCUAAGGAAGAAGGUGGGCAGCGGAGCCGGUGAAGGAAGCCGCAGGCGCGGAUGGAGGCGAAGAGAUCAGGAGCAGUAAAGGAACACUCUCUUCCCCAGUCAGCUGGGAUACGGAUUUUGUAAGGCCUAGGGACUUUGUCUUUGGAGGUCCUGUCUCCAUAAGGCUUCCCAAAACAAAGAAUGUUCAGAUUGGACUGGCCUUAAAAUGCAGUAUUUAAAACAGCAACAUGUCUGACAGAUCCGAGAAAUGAAAUACGUCCAUUUCUUUUGGCAAGGAGCAGAAGGCAACAUAAAGCAGCUGCAAGAAUUAAUUCAUGGAGAUAGUUGACAUUUUCGAGCUGACUGCCUCUUAGAGAAAAUGAUGUCAUUCUCCAGCAGCCUAAUGACAGUCAUCAGCCUGAGAGGACACAUGCUAAUAAGACUAUCACCAGCAAAGAAUUUUCUGAGCAAAUGUGUACUGGAGACCUUCUGAGGAACCCACUAGAGCCUGCACAUCCCCUUUUCCUAGCAAGGUCAACUGGAAAACAGUGUUCUUUCCAAGAUAACGUGCAACUUUCCUUUGGAAUGAUCAGCAGAAUGUCAAAUAAGGAAAGGACAUGUAGAGUUCAUGGGAGGAGACAUUACUUCUGGCUGCAGAAUUAUGGAGGCUUUAUGGGAGACGCCGUAUAUUUUAUCUGUGCGCCUUGAUCACGUGUCUGACCAUGGACAGAGAAACCAGCCUAAUGAGCCUUCUUUACAGGAAGCCCCAAGCUGUUUUCCAAAGUGGUUGUACCAUUUUACAUUCUCACCAGCAAUGUACCAGGGUCUUACUGCCUAUUAGAGCAAAGGAAGAGGAAAUCUUUGGCUAACCGGUCAGAGAAAACAACUGGAUUAAACAAGAUACUCUUCAUGACUGUGGUUGCAAAAAUGCAACACAACUUUUAAAAAUCUUAGUACUAAUUUUUAAAAAUGGCUUUUAAUUUGGGGGAGACUCGAUAACAGAACCCGAAAAUCUGAUGAAUUGUAUGAACAUUUUGUUCAGAAAAAUAAACAUAUAUUACCAGAAAAUUUCAUAUGUGAUUCAAGAAGUCCACAGAAGUUCCAUGUUGUAAGUAAUUAGAAAAUAAGAAUUCUGAAUUGUUAAAAUAAAAUUUAAUGUUCAACAUCAUUCAUCCAGGAAGUGGAAUUUUCCCUCUGUUAAUCAUAGAAAGAAAUGCUCUCAAAUUUAGGUGGAAAUAAAAUAUUUGUUGUUGGAAAUGUAUAUACUUCUGCUGCUUUUAAAAUUCCAGGCUUCAUCCAUAUUCAAAAUGCAAAAUAUUAUUAAAAUAAUCAGAGCUUUGACUUUGGAAAAGUCUGAAAUUGCACCUUGGCAACACUGGAUCUACUCCUGUCACUCCCCAAGUGGUGGUCCUUAAGUGUUAGUGUGCUUGAGAAUUAACUACAGAGAUUGUCUAAAAUUACCAGUUUCUAGGAUGAGCCCACCAAUCUGUGUUUUAACAGGAGCUCCAGAAAAU
rnacentral:lncRNA from 1 species